rnacentral:rRNA from 1 species
GAUGAACGCUAGCGGCAGGCCUAACACAUGCAAGUCGAGGGAGAAGCCCUUUCGGGGGCAGAAACCGGCGCACGGGUGCGUAACGCGUAUGCAACCUACCUUUCACAGGGGGAUAGCCCGAAGAAAUUUGGAUUAAUACCCCAUAAUAUUAUUGGAUGGCAUCAUUUGAUAAUUAAAACUGCGGUGGUGAAAGAUGGGCAUGCGUCCUAUUAGCUAGUUGGAGUGGUAACGGCACCCCAAGGCUACGAUAGGUAGGGGUCCUGAGAGGGAGAUCCCCCACACUGGUUCUGAGACAGGGACCAGACGCCUACGGGAGGAAGCAGUGAGGAAUAUUGGUCAAUGGUCGGAAGACUGAACCAGCCAUGCCGCGUGCAGGAAGAAUGCCUUAUGGGUUGUAAACUGCUUUUAUAUGGGAAGAAUAAGGUGUACGUGUACAUUGAUGACGGUACCAUAUGAAUAAGCAGCGGCUAACUCCGUG